GUGGGGAAUAUUGGGCAAUGGGCGAAAGCCUGACGCAGCAACGCCGCGUGGGUGAAGAAGGCCUUCGGGUCGUAAAGCCCUGUCAGGUGGGAAGAAAGGUUUCGUCAAGAAACGGAUGGAAUUUGACGGUACCACCAGAGGAAGCACCGGCUAACUCCGUGCCAGCAGCCGCGGUAAUACGGAGGGUGCGAGCGUUAUUCGGAAUUAUUGGGCGUAAAGCGCGAGUAGGCGGGGAUGCAAGUCUGAUGUGAAAGCCCUGGGCUUAACCUGGGAAGUGCAUUGGAAACUGCAUUUCUUGAGUACUGGAGAGGAAGGGGGAAUUCCCGGUGUAGAGGUGAAAUUCGUAGAGAUCGGGAGGAAUACCAGUGGCGUAGGCGCCUUUCUGGACGGUUACUGACGCUGAGACGCGAAAGCGUGGGGAGCAAACAGGAUUAGAUACCCUGGUAGUCC
rnacentral:rRNA from 1 species